rnacentral:pre_miRNA from 1 species
AGUGGGAUUGCUGGAUCUUAUGGUAAGCAUAUGUUUAACUUUAUAAGAAACUGCCAAACUAUUUUCCAGAAUAGCCACACCAUUUUGCAUUUCCACCAGCAAU